AUACGGAGGAUGCAAGCGUUAUCCGGAUUUAUUGGGUUUAAAGGGUGCGUAGGCGGAUUAUUAAGUCAGUGGUGAAAACCUGCAGCUUAACUGUAGACUUGCCAUUGAUACUGAUAAUCUUGAGUAUGGUCAAGGCAGGCGGAAUGUGUAAUGUAGCGGUGAAAUGCUUAGAUAUUACACAGAACACCGAUUGCGAAGGCAGCUUGCUGGGCCAUCACUGACGCUGAUGCACGAAAGCGUGGGGAGCGAACAGGAUUAGGUACCCUGGUAGUCCACGCCGUAAACUAUGAUCACUAGCUGUUGGCGAUAUACUGUCAGCGGCAAAGCAAAAGCAUUAAGUGAUCCACCUGGGGAGUACGGCCGCAAGGUUGAA
rnacentral:rRNA from 1 species